GGGCGGAUAGCUCAGUGGUAGGGCACACGGUUGGCGUGCAUGAGGUCCUGGGAUCAAUCCCCAGUGCCUCCG
rfam:Camelus ferus unplaced genomic scaffold scaffold163, whole genome shotgun sequence.